rnacentral:rRNA from 1 species
GGCGUUGGAAGAUUGAGAGGGGUUGCUCCUAGUACGAGAGGACCGGAGUGAACGCACCACUGGUGUUCGGGUUGUCAUGCCAAUGGCAUUGCCCGGUAGCUAAGUGCGGAAAAGAUAAGCGCUGAAAGCAUCUAAGCGCGAAACUUGCCUCAAGAUGAGUCUUCCCUGGGCCUUUAAGGCCCCUGAAGGAACGUUUAAGACUAAGACGUUGAUAGGCUGGGUGUGUAAGUGCAGCGAUGCAUUGAGCUAACCAGUACUAAUGAUCCGUGAGGCUUAACCUUACAACACCGAAGGUGUUU